CGCUUGCGUAAUAUUCAGGAAUUCGACGUUACGUAGGAUGUUAUUAUAAUGAGGUCAGGGCGAGGAUCUGACAUUGGCGACGAGGACGAAGUGGCGUUUAAUGGAGUCGAAGCAGCUGGGAUUGCAGGUGGUACCUUGCCCGGAAUGCGACCAAUCUAGCGUAAUAAGCUGGUGCUGGAAUGGAGACUGAGCGUGUGCAGCGCACAUAAGUGUGGCACAACUGAUACGUCAGGAUCUGUAGCUCAUCUGCUGUGAAUCGAUUGUCAUCCCAUAAUACAUAAUAAUGUGAAGGUCUGCUGGUGCCCUGCAAGUGUAAAAAGUUUCCCAGGACCUGAACAGUUGCAUUGAAGGAGCGAACAAAAGUCAAGCUGGUAGUUUAACAUGCUUUGCACGCUAAAGUAAUUCUCAACACUGCCAUGGCAAGUCAUGUGUAUACAUUGUCUGUAAUUCUGUAAUGGUUACAAGUACUAAGAAAUUGAACUAACCUGAAUCCCAGCAUGACUGCACAAGUAGAAAUCAAACUCAAAUGGGUGGGUGAUAUUAGUAUCAACUGUUGUUCCUGCUGGUAUGUUCCCACUUUUACCAAUCUAUAAAAUUAAAAGUUCAGUAUUUAAUAAACAGCUAGGAAAUAUUUUGGCAUAUUUAAACAUAUUUAAACAUAAAGGCUUAUACCAUAUAUUAAUUUGAUGUAUCUUCAGGUUUGUGCACAUUCAAACUACACUCCAAGUUCAUUUGACAUUAGUACCCUUGAAACAAUGACAACACACUGUAUAACCACACCAUUGUCACCAGUGUUGCAACAAUUCAGUGAAUAUUGAGUUUGAAAUAUAUUCUCAACAAAAGAAUGGAUACAGCACUUAUAGCCCACCAUGCAGCAUGAUUAGAUUAGUUAUCUAAUUUAUACCAAUUAGCAACAAUUGAUCAGAAGAAAAUAUAUCAGUACGGGUUAUAUAGAGGAUGAUUUUGGUAAUACCUCGAAUAGUAGAAACAAGCUUCAGAGUAUUUUUUUGCAUCCAAAUGACUAGCAUAAUCAAGAGGACCAAGCAGCGGUCGAGGAAGGGGUCGGCAGUCGAAGUUGACAAUGGGCGCCGGUGUUCGAGGAGGACAUGGACGGGCCGGCGGAGGUUGCCGGUGGUCGGACGGGACCAUGUGGGCUUUCAAUCGAACAAUUUAUCUCCUAUACUUUGACUCAUCAUUACCUAUAAUGACUCGUCAAACACCAGUAGAGUCAUUGGCAAAUUUAAAGAUGGAGCUGGAACUGUGUCUGGCUACACAGUCAUGGGUAUCAAGUGAGUAGUGCAGGGUACUGCUUCUUGAGGUGCCCUUGUGAUGGUGGUUAUUGAGGAGGAAGUGCUGUUGCCAAGUUGUACUGAUCGUGCUCUGUGAUACAGAAGUCAAGGAUCCAGUUGUAAAGAGAUGUAGAGAGGUCCAGUUCUCUCUGAGCUUAGUAACAAGUUUGGAGGGGAUGAUAAUGUCGAAUGCUGAACGGUCGUCAGUGAACAACAGCCUGACAUGUGUUUUUAUUGUCUAAGUGGUCCAGUGCAGAGUGGAAAGCCAGCGAGUUUGCAUCCCCCAUUGAUCUAUUAUGGCAGUAGGCAAAUUGUAGUGGAUCCAAGAUCUUGCUAGGGUAGGAGUUGAUAUGUGCCAUAACCAACCUCUCAAAUCACUUAAUCACCACAGGCAUUAGUGCCACCAGUCGGUCAUUGAGGCAUGUUACCUUACUCUUUUUACCGUUUUUAUCUAAUAUACAUUUUUCAUUAAUUGAUCUUACACAUGAUGAAAAGUUACAUUAGAGAGGUGCUACAAGGACCAUAGCACCUUUGGGAUAUACUAAGCAACCUGCGCCUUCGAAAAGGACGGAAAAGGAGAAAGUUAUUUCAUUGUACUUACCCUUUCGCUUUUAUCUGCACAGAAGAGUCGUGUAUGAUGACGUUUCUGGACAACUAUAUAGGUAAUUCCAGGUUGAUAAUCUUUUUCCAGUUUGAUACAUGCAUCACGAAUAGCCAGAAGCUCAUAAUGUAAAAUCUGAAAAAGGAAGUUUCAGUCAAGUUGUUAAUUCAAAUAAAAGUUGUAAACAUUUUUGAUGAGGAGCAUAGAUGCAGCUGUUUAUAAAAUGUAUUUUUAAGCCAAAGGAAUAAAGAAUUCCAGAUCAGGAGAAAUAUACGACAUCAGUGAGAUGAUUUUUUUUAACCAAUUAUAUUGCCGGAGCUAUUUUGGAAAAGAUGUGAAAUCCCUAUUAAAACUUUCACCGCAGAGUUUAUGUGGAGGGACCAACUACUUUUCAUUAUCCAAAUCAUACUAAGUACACAAUGCACUUUCCAAGUUACCUCAUUUGAACUAUAGCUCCUAGCAACUGAUUACAAUAUAGCAUUGAUAAACUCUGUCCAUGAGGCAGACUAUCCUUCCUCCCACUGGGAGGAAGCUGUGCUGAACAGAAUAAAGGAGAACAGUUAGUACAAAUAUUAAA